rnacentral:rRNA from 1 species
CCUACGGGAGGCAGCAGUGAGGAAUAUUGGUCAAUGGACGAGAGUCUGAACCAGCCAAGUAGCGUGAAGGAUGACUGCCCUAUGGGUUGUAAACUUCUUUUAUAUGGGAAUAAAAUGUUCCACGUGUGGGAUUUUGUAUGUACCAUAUGAAUAAGGAUCGGCUAACUCCGUGCCAGCAGCCGCGGUAAUACGGAGGAUCCGAGCGUUAUCCGGAUUUAUUGGGUUUAAAGGGAGCGUGGGGGGAUUGUUAAGUCAGUUGGGAAAGUUUGCGGCUCAACCGUAAAAUUGCAGUUGAAACUGGAAGUUUUGAGUACAGAAGAGGGGGGAGGAAUCCGGGGUGUGGCGGGGAAAUGGUUAGA